rnacentral:rRNA from 1 species
UACGGGGGGGGCAAGCGUUGUUCGGAAUUACUGGGCGUAAAGGGCUCGUAGGCGGCCAACUAAGUCAGACGUGAAAUCCCCAGGCUUAACCUGGGAACUGCGUCUGAUACUGGAUGGCUUGAAUUCGGGAGAGGGAUGCAGAAUUCCAGGUGUAGCGGUGAAAUGCGUAGAUAUCUGGAAGAACACCCGUGGCGAAAGCGGCUCUCUGGAACGGUACUGACGCUGAGACGCGAAAGCGUGGGGAGCGAACAGG